UACGUAGGGUGCAAGCGUUGUCCGGAAUUAUUGGGCGUAAAGAGCUCGUAGGCGGUCUGUCGCGUCUGCUGUGAAACUCAGGGCUUAACCCUGAGCUUGCAGUGGGUACGGGCAGACUAGAGUGCGGUAGGGGAGACUGGAAUUCCUGGGUGUAGCGGUGAAAUGCGCAGAUAUCAGGAGGGAACACCGGUGGGCGAAGGCGGGUCUCUGGGCCGUAACUGACGCUGGAGGAGCGGAAAGCAUGGGGAGCGAACAGG
rnacentral:rRNA from 1 species